GUUCAGUAUGUAAUUUUCAUCCUCCUAGAGGAUUUUUUAACAAAACCAUUCAAUAUUUCUUUUUCGGUGUUUUCAUAUAAUAAUUCGUCUUUAUUUAUUGUUGCUAAUACCAAACCAUUUAACCUUUCUUCAUUCAUUAUAGCUCGUAAGUAUGUGUACAGUUUUCUUUAGAACAGAAAAUGUAUAUUCCGGGGUUACAGGCAGAGUAAAAAAUAAAUGAAGAAUCCUUUUUCUAUUUGAAAGAUCUGUGCAGUGAUGAAUUUCUUCUACAGCAGUCUCUGGGAAAUUUUCUUUCAAUUGCCAUUGCUUUAUCCAUAUUAUGAAUAACUCCG